AUUGAACGCUGGCGGCAUGCCUUACACAUGCAAGUCGAACGGUAACGGGCCUUCGGGUGCCGACGAGUGGCGAACGGGUGAGUAAUGUAUCGGAACGUACCUUUCAGUGGGGGAUAACGUAGCGAAAGUUACGCUAAUACCGCAUAUUCUGUGAGCAGGAAAGCAGGGGAUCGCAAGACCUUGCGCUGAUUGAGCGGCCGAUAUCAGAUUAGCUAGUUGGUGAGGUAAAGGCUCACCAAGGCGACGAUCUGUAGCGGGUCUGAGAGGAUGAUCCGCCACACUGGAACGGAGACACGGUCCAGACUCCUACGGGAGGCAGCAGUGGGGAAUUUUGGACAAUGGGGGCAACCCUGAUCCAGCCAUGCCGCGUGAGUGAGGAAGGCCUUCGGGUUGUAAAGCUCUUUCGGCCGGGAAGAAAUCGUAUCAGCUAAUACCUGGUGCGGAUGACGGUACCGGCAUAAGAAGCACCGGCUAACUACGUGCCAGCCGCCGCGGUAACAC
rnacentral:rRNA from 1 species